ensembl:lncRNA
UCUAUUGAUUACACCAGAGCAUUUGAUUGUGUGGACCAUAACAAACUGUGGAAAAUUCUUCAAAAGAUGGGAAUACCAGACCACUUUACUUGCCUCCUGAGAAAUCUAUGCAGGUUAAGAAGCAACAGUUAGACAUGGAACAAGAGACUGGCUCCAAAUUGGGAAAGGAGUACAUUGAGGCUGUAUAUUGUCACCCUGCUUAUUUAACUUAUAUGCAGAGUACAUCAUGUGAAAUGCUGGACUGGAUGAAGCACAAGAUGGAAUCAAGAUUGCUGGGAGAAAUAUCAAUAACCUCAGAAACGCAGAUGACACCACCCUUAUGGCAGAAAGUGAAGAAGAACUAAAGAGCCUCUUGAUGAAAGUGAAAGAGGAGAGUGAAAAAAUUGGCUUAAAACUAAACAUUCAGAAAACUGAGAUCAUGGCAUCCGGUCCCAUCACUUCAUGGCAAAUAGAUGGGGAAACAGUGAGAGACUUUAUUUUCUGGGCUCCAAAAUCACUGCAGAUGGUGACUGCAGCCAUGCAAUUAAAAGACACUUGCUUCUUGGAAGAAAAGCUGUGACCAACCUGCUGCUGCUAAGUCGCUUCAGUCGUGUCCGACUCUGUGCGACCCCAUAGACGGCAGCCCACCAGGCUCCCCCGUCCCUGGGAUUCUCCAGGCAAGAACACUGGAGUGGGUUGCCAUUUCCUUCUCCAGUGCAUGACAAUGAAAAGUAAAAGUGAAGCCGCUCAGUUGUUUGCGACCCUUAAUGACCCCAUGGACUGCAGCCCACCAGGCUCCUCCAUCCGUGGGAUUUUCCAGGCAAGAGUACUGGAGUGGGGUGCCAUUGCCUUCUUCUUGACCAACUUGGACAGCAUAUUAAAAAUCAGAGACAUUACUUUGCUGACAAAGUCUGUCUAGGCAAAACUAUGGUUUUUCCAGGAGUUAUAUAUGGAUAUGAGAGUUGAACUAUAAAGAAAGCUGAGUGCUGAAGAUUUGAUGCUUUUGAACUGUGGUGUUGGAGAAGACUCUUGAGAGUCCCUUGGACUGCAAGGAGAUCCAACCAGUCAAUCCUCUAGGAAAUCAGUCCUGAAUAUUCAUUGGAAGGACUGAUGCUGAAGCUGAAACUCCAAUACUUUGGCCACCUGAUGGGAAGAACUGACUCAUUGGAAAAGACCCUGAUGCUGGGAAAGAUUGAAGGCGGGAGGAGAAGGGGAUGACAGGGAUGAGACAGUUGGAUGUCAUCACCAACUCUAUAGACAUGAAUUUGAGCAAGCUCCAGGAGUUGGUGGUGGACAGGGAGGCCUGGCGUGCUGCAGUCCAUGGGCUGUAGUCUGCCAGGCUCCUCUGUCCGUGGAAUUCUCCAGCAAGAAUACUGGAGUGGGUUGCCAUUUCCUUCUCCAGGGGAUCCUGUAUUGCAGAUGAAUUCUUUACCCACUGAGCCACCAGGGAAGUCCUAUUACUUGUAUUUUUAUCCAUUAAUGUCUGCUUGCCAAGAAUGUAAGCCUUUUGAUCCUGUGCACCUUUUCUGCCUCAGUACCCCCUUCAUCUAGUUACAAUCAAUCAAGAUAGUUGAAUGUAUGAUAUUUUUUGCUGGUGACUGCUCAGCUCCGUGGGUUCAGCUGAAAGCCUGAGGCCAGUGUUGUGGGUUGAACCUACCUUAUCCUUUUCCCCUUUACCUCUCCAGUAAUCAGCUUUUACUUCCCAAGCCCACACUGAAGAUGAACUGGGAUGAAGGAUGCAGGUGAAUAAGGGCAAAUCCAUCACCAUUAGUAGGAAAAGGACUCAAAACUUCCUCACUAAUAAUGUGUUGUGGAUUUGUUGUCAUCUGCAAAGCCAGAAAGACA